ensembl:lncRNA
GGGCGCCUUGUGUGACGUCACGAGGAAGCGUGGCCGCCGUGGCGCCGCGCCGCUCCUUUCCCGGCGACCGGGUAGAUAGGAGACGCUGUGCAGGCCAGGGACCAGAUCCAAGCCACAGUUGUGACCUACAUGGUGGCAGCGCUGGGACCUUUAACCCACUGCACCCAUUGGAUAUCGAACCUGUGUCCUAGCUCUACAGAGACACCGCCCACCCUAUUUCAUCACAGCGGGAACUCCCAUAAGCAUUCUUUAUACAUCCUGGGUAGUCCUUCUUGGUUGGGUAUGUAUGUAGUUAAUAUCUUCUCCCCAUUUGUCACUUGCUUUUUCACUUUUUUUCCUUGGCUUUUUUAGGGCCAAGGAGGCACAUGGAGGUUCCCAGACUAGGGGUCAGAUCAGAGCUGUAGACUGUCGAUCUUGGUUUUACCCCCCAGCCUGGGAACUCUUAUAUGCUGCAGGUGUGGCCCUAAAAAGUUAAAAAAAAAAAAAAAAAGAUAUCUUUUCUAUUUCCUCUAAAAGCCACAAAUUUUUCCUUUUAUAUUUAUACCCUCAUUCAUCUAGAACUUAUUUUUGUGUAUGAUGUGAGGUAGGAAUCUGAUUUUUUUUUCCACUUGCAUAAUUAGUUGUCCAGCACUAUUUCCUCAUUGAUCUGCAAUGUCACCUCUGUCAUGUAUCAAAUUUCCAUAUACACAUGAGACUGUUUAUGGGCUGUAUACUGUGUAUCAUUGCUUUAUUAUACCUCUGUAAUAAACACCUUUUUUUACCCCCAAAAAAGCCACUUUAUUUUCCUCAGAAAUAGCUUGGUUAUUCUUUUUUUUUUUUUUGUCUUUUUAGGGCUGCACCCACGGUACAUGGAGGUUCCCAGGGAUCAAAUUAGGUGUAGCUGCUGGUCACAGCCACAACCACAGCAGCGCCAGAUCCAAGCCGCAUCUGCGACCUCCCCCACAGCUCACGGCAACACAAUAUGCUUAACCCACUGAGUGAGGCCAGGGACUGAAUCUGCAUCUUCAUGGAUACUAGUCAGAUUCAUUUCUGCUGGGCCACGACAGGAACUCCUCUUGGUUAUUCUUGACCCUUUAAUUUUCCAUGUAAAUUUUAGAAUUGUAGUGUUAUAUUCAUCAAAAAAUUCCUCUGGAGGAGUUUCCUUGUGGUGUAGCAGAUUAAGUAUCCAGUGUUGUCACUACAGCAGCCCACUGCUGGGGCACAGAUUUUAUCCCUGGCUGGGGACUUCCACGUGCCCCAGGUAGCCCCCCCCCGCAAAAUCCUCUGGAGUGUUGACUGAACAAUGGCUUCAGCUCCGAUUCGACCCCUAGCGGGAGCGGCCCAAGUAAUGGCAAAAAGACAAAAAAUAGAUAAAUAAAAAUAAAAAUUACAUUUGGGGGAGGUUCCCGUCGUGGCUCAGUGGUUAACGAAUCCAACUAGGAACCAUGAGGUUGCAGGUUUGGUCCCUAGUCUUGCUCAGUGGUUAAGGAUCCAGCGUUGCUGUGAGCUGUGGUGUAGGUCACAGACUCAGCUUGGAUCCUGCAUUGCUGUGGCUGUGGCAUAGGCUGGCAGCUGCCCCUCCGAUUAGACCCCUAGUCUGGGAACUUCCAUAUGCCUCUAGUGUGGCCCUAAAAAGCAAAAAAAAAAAAAAAAA